AAAAAGAUAAGCUAAUUAAGCUAUCAGGUUCAUACCCUGAGAAUAGAAGUUAUAAUCUUCUUCUUUUUA
rnacentral:tRNA from 2 species